rnacentral:lncRNA from 1 species
CGUGGGACCCAUCUUGGGUGUCCUUUUUGCUAGUGUGAGGCAUCACAUCAGCACCUCUCCUCCCUCGUUUGGUUGGAUUGCAAAGGUGAUUCGAUCAGAGUUCAUCCUACUUUUCUGCGUUGUCUGACGUGUAUGCGAAGUAGAGGGUCUGCACUUUCAGGCUUUCACGAAGAUUUGUUUCAGAUUUUUGAAGAUUUGAUCUCUGGUUCUAUUGCUAAUCA